rnacentral:rRNA from 1 species
UGUACACGCUGUGACUAGCAUAUCAAUAAGCGGAGGAAAAGAAACUAACAAGGAUUCCCCUAGUAACGGCGAGUGAAGCGGGAAGAGCUCAAAUUUGAAAUCUUAAAGGGUUUCCCUUUACGAAUUGUAGUUUAAAGAAGUGUUUUCUGUUGAGGUUUUGGUAAAAGUUCUUUGGAAUAGGACAUCAUAGAGGGUGAGAAUCCCGUAUUUGACCAUUACUUUUCAGCUGUGUGAUACACUUUCAAAGAGUCGGAUUGUUUGGGAAUGCAGUCCAAAAUGGGUGGUAAAUUUCAUCUAAAGCUAAAUAUUGGCGAGAGACCGAUAGCGAACAAGUACCGUGAGGGAAAGAUGAAAAGAACUUUGAAAAGAGAGUUAAACAGUACGUGAAAUUGUCAAAAGGGAAGCGUUUGACACCAGUGUUGUUUUUCUGAAAAUCAAUUAAAGAACUGUUUAUGCUAAGUUGUUUAGACUUUAUCAGCUAACUGUUUAGUUUCGAGCUUUUCUUUAAUGCACUUUUCAGUUAACAAGUCAACAUCAAUUUCUUUUGCUGUAAAAAAGCUUGAGGAAGGUGGCUUGAGAUUCGUCUUAAGUGUUUAUAGCCUCUUGCCUAUGCAGUCGGAGAGAUUGAGGUCUGCAGCGUAGAUCCUUCGGGGCUAAAUGCAUUUGUGCUAAGUUAUAACAUUUUAUAGACAACUUGUUGACUAUGAUUUGUCUUGUAGCUUACUCGCUUAUGUUAUUUUACCUACGCUUAGGAUGUUGACAGCAGUAUAGACUGU